rnacentral:rRNA from 1 species
GACGAACGCUGGCGGCGUGCCUAAUACAUGCAAGUCGAGCGGACAGAAGGGAGCUUGCUCCCGGAAGUUAGCGGCGGACGGGUGAGUAACACGUGGGCAACCUACCCUGUAGAUCGGGAUAACAUCGAGAAAUCGGUGCUAAUACCGGAUAAUCAUUUGAAGUGCAUGCUUCGAAUGUAAAAGAUGGCUCCGGCUAUCACUACGGGAUGGGCCCGCGGCGCAUUAGCUGGUUGGUAAGGUAAUGGCUUACCAAGGCAACGAUGCGUAGCCGACAUGAGAGGGUGAUCGGCCACACUGGGACUGAGACACGGCCCAGACUCCUACGGGAGGCAGCAGUAGGGAAUCUUCCGCAAUGGACGAAAGUCUGACGGAGCGACGCCGCGUGAGUGAUGAAGGUUUUCGGAUCGUAAAGCUCUGUUGUUAGGGAAGAACAAGUGCCGUUUGAAUAAGGCGGCACCUUGACGGUACCUAACCAGAAAGCCACGGCUAACUACGUGCCAGCAGCCGCAGUAAGAC